GGAAUCUUCCACAAUGGACGCAAGUCUGAUGGAGCAACGCCGCGUGAGUGAAGAAGGGUUUCGGCUCGUAAAGCUCUGUUGUUAAAGAAGAACGUGGGUAAGAGUAACUGUUUACCCAGUGACGGUAUUUAACCAGAAAGCCACGGCUAACUACGUGCGAG
rnacentral:rRNA from 1 species